UCUCUUCCAGACAUUUACUGGCAGCUUCGCCCUCCGGCCACCCCCGCGACUGGCUCUGGCUGGAGAGAGUGGAACAGGAAAUACCGGUUCAAAGCCCUGGUACAAUAGCACAUCUGUCUGAGAGCAUGAUGCCACAACUGAAGCAAAGUGAGCAAGAGACAAGAGGAGCUUUAGCACCUAUCCUCAUGUAUCGCAAUGAAUAACCUUCAGGACAUGAACUAAAGAUAUUAAGAACACACAAAGGUAAGUCAAAAUGACUGGGAUCUUAUAGGGACAUCUCUUCUGCUGCAUUCGAGCUGAUGGCUGUUUUGAGUCAGGAUUAUGUGCUCCAAUUAUUUUAUUUUGUGUUUCUCACUGCUGUGGCCUUUGCAAAAAGAAGUAACUUUUUCUGUUACACUGUAACGUGCAAUUCUGGAAGUGGAGACAGCCUAUAAAAAGUUAGAAUGGGAUAUGGUUUAGAGCAACUGGACUAAAACAAAAUAUUUUGAUGAAUGAUGGGAACUGUUUUGAAAUGUUACCUAGUAAAUAUCAAAUCACUGUGCUAUUAUUUAACAAAUAUAAAAUAAUAAACAUGUAUAGUGCUUUACACCUUCAAAAUGCUGUACAUUUACUACCUUUUAAUAAGGAUCUUUUGAAUUCUAACAAAAUGCCAAAUGUCUAUACAGUAAGUGUAUUUCUCACACGAGAAUAUGAAUACAUUUUAUAAAGCAUUAAAAGAUCACGACAACCAAAAUAAUUAGGCCUUGUUUGUUAAAGACAUUUUGCAAUGUUUAAAAGCUUUAAUUAAUGGAGCUGCACAAAAGAGACACUUUGUGCAGGUGGCACACCUUCUUUUGAAUGUGCCAAUUGUAUAUUGCCAUAUAAAUGCAGGCUUAGUUCACCUGCAUGUGUGUAACAAAGCUCAGCAGCCUGGAGCUAGAGAAAUUCAAUAGUAGUUUCCUUUUCUUGCCUCGUAAAUCUCUCUCUCUCGGUGUUGUUGCCAAAGUGGUCAUUAACACUCAACAAUUUUACAUUUAUUGUGUUGAGGUAGCAAACACCACAAUAUUCAAAUACUGUUUAUCAUUAGCAGCAUUGCUUGCUUCUCCCACUCCAUAGCGCAUCACAUCCAGGACACAGAUGUUAUGAGCGUUAGUUAUAGUACAUUCAGUACAUGUUUGCAUAAAAAAGUUACAAGAUCUCUUAGCAGGAGUUGGAAAACUAAGUAAACAUGUAGUGUUUUCUUGCAGGAAAUACACAAAUGUUUGCCAUACACAGAUGAACAUAAAACCAAAUCUUUACAAGGGAAAAAGAUUUCUUAGACAAAUAAACAUAUGAAAAAUUCUCUCCGGGUCAGGAGCUUUUAGCAGAGCCUAUUUUUAUUUAUUUAUUUUUUUGGGUGUUCCUUUCUUUAUCCUUUGAACAUACUGAAUAUGAAAACUCCUAUUUAUAUUUUCCACAAAUCUGUUAUUCAGGAACAUGUAUUUCUUCAUUCAGCUAGCAUUGGCUCAUAAAAGUUAAAUAGAUCCAAAUACAAUAUAAACUCUCUGACUUCUUAAUCUCCAGAUACGGACGCAAUAUAACCUGAACUUGUGUUUUAUGCUUGAGGUUAAAAAAAAAGAUCUUAUGCAUAACUUGGAUUCUGAGGCACUGUCUGCAAGUGUCUAGACAUAAAUAAAAAGGAUUGUUUGAUUUCUUGCAUAUUGCCUCACCAAGAUAAAAACCCUUUGAAAUGCAAUAUCUUGUUUAUUUAAACAAACAAGAUUCUGGGAGGAGAGAGGAGUUAACAAUAGGCUACAAUGGCUUAUCUAAUAUAAUGUACACCAGUGGUUCUCAACCAAGGGUACUCGUACCCCUGGGGGGUACUCUGAAGUCUUCCAGGGGGGUAUAUCAACUCAUCUAGAUAUUUGCCUAAUUUUAUAAUAGGCUACAUAAACAUAACUAGCGAAGUCAGUACAAACUAAAAUUUCAUACAGACAAUUACUUGUUUAUACUGCUCUAUAUACUACACACUGAAAUGUAAGUAUAAUAUUUGUUUCAAUUGAUGUAUUUUAUAAUGUAUGUGGAAAAAAAUAAGGAAGUGAGCAAUUUUUCAGUAAUAGUGUGCGGUGACACCUUUGAAUUUAUGUCUGAUUUUGUAAGCAAGUAGUUUUUACGUGAACCUUGGGGGGUACGCAAGGCAAAUCAGACUCCCCAAAGGGGCACAAUAAGUCUGGAACGGUUGAGAGUCACUGCUGUACACCAACUAAGUGUACACCAAAAACAGUUACAGCAGGUUGAAAGGCAAAUCACUAAGGAAUAUUUUAAUUACUUAGGUGGACUAUUUAAAAUAAGAUGAUUCUCUAAAAUUUCACGUUAAAAAAUGUUAAUCCUACUGCACAAUAGCUUGAUCCAUUCCUGAUUUUAUAGUUAGUAUGUUCUAUUUGAAUGACCUCUAAGAAAUCUACCUGCAUAUGUACAGUGAAUCUUUAUGCUUUGUCUUUCCUUUUUAGCUAAACCAUUCAUCAACAAUGCCAGAGAGAUGAAAGACACCCUCAGUCUGCUGCUGGGAGAGUGGCAGAUUUCAUUGUAAACUUUUGGUGAGGCCACUCAUGACAUUCUUUCAACACAUUCUGUACAUCUCACUCCCAGUCAGAACCAACUGCAAAACCUGGAAUGGAUCAAACUGCUGUAGAAGACAAGGCAGAGGACACAGCAAUCAAGACCUCCACAUUAAGAACUGCCCAAGAUCGAUAAAAACAUCUCUCAGUUAAAUUGUAGAAAACAUGCACACGAAUAAAACAAGGAACUCGUACCCAGGCUUACAGGGUCAAUCCAUAAAGAACAGUGUUAGACCAUAACAAUCUCAUUUCUCUUCCAGACAGUUCUUUUGUCACAGCUGUUCAGUCUUCUAUGAAUAGGCUACAGUCGCGUUCAUAGUGCUUGUGAAAUUUGACAUUUAAAAAAUGGAACACAUUUUAUUACAUUAUACAUUUUACUGCACUAGUUUGUGGGUCAGCCUGUCCAUUUCUGUCGGUCACCACCUGAAGUAUAAACAGCAACUAGUUGUUAUACCUCUAGGGAAAAUCCUAUUGGGUGUAUGUGUUGAGAAAAUGCAUAAAAUAUGUGAUCAGGGCAUUAAAUAGUCUCCACGGGGCUAGCAGGCAGGCUUUUAAUUCAUCUCUGAAUUUUCAGACAUUUCCUAGCAUACAGAUAAUU